UACGUAGGGUGCAAGCGUUAAUCGGAAUUACUGGGCGUAAAGCGUGCGCAGGCGGUUUUGCAAGACAGAUGUGAAAUCCCCGGGCUUAACCUGGGAACUGCAUUUGUGACUGCAAGGCUAGAGUGUGUCAGAGGGAGGUGGAAUUCCGCGUGUAGCAGUGAAAUGCGUAGAGAUGCGGAGGAACACCGAUGGCGAAGGCGGUUCUCUGGGCAUUACCUGACGCUGAGGAGCGAAAGUGUGGGGAGCGAACAGG
rnacentral:rRNA from 1 species